UUCACCAUCAAGUCUCAAAGUUCAAAUAAAAAAACAAACAAAUGGAGAGCACAAAUCACUAACACCACUGUUAAUUUCUUGCCCCAACCCAAAUUCAUAUGUGUGCCUUAAGUUCUCACAGGAUACAGCUACUUGUUUGUCACAUUUCUCCAGUAAACAUGAGAAGACUAAUUUAGCAUCAGACAUCUCAGCUAAGCUGUCUCAUAGCACUUAUGAAAAAGGUCAUAAACAUGAAAAAUGGGAGGUAGAUUCGUACUACAGUUUGCCAGUUCCCAGUGCAUCACUAGCACUGAAAGAUCUUUAAAAUAUUAAUUUUUAUCUCAUUGAAUCCAAGACACUAUGUAUUAUAAGACAGAUCAUUUUAUUUUGUGCCAAUAAGGAAGGAAAGAAGGGCUGAUAAUUAAAGCACAGCGUUCCACUGUUUUAAACCUCAUCCUGAUCACAAAGAUAUUCAGCUAGAAAACAACUUCCAUCUCAGGAUUGAUGAAUGAGCUCAUGAGAAGAAUUCCUGACUGAUGAAUGAAGGAGCAUUUCUUUCAUUCUAAUCUGACCGCUUGUUCUUUUCAGUUCUGCUUUUCAUUUCAAGGGGUUUGGGAAAGAAAGCUUUCUCUAGGAAGAGGAAGUAAUGACCUCCACUCAACCAUGUUUGGAAUGAGUAUGCUUCUUUCUGGGGAAGGAUUCCGUUAAUCCAAUUAUAUAUGCAACAUCACCCCCCCACCCCGCCCCGUUCCCUGCCCCAAGAUGUUUCAUCCUCAUCAUUUGAAUUCUGUAAGUAAGUUUAGGCUUUCCCUCAGGAUCACAGAAUACUGAAAUAAAACUUAUUCUCUGUUUGCUAAUAAAGAGCAA